AUUGAACGCUGGCGGCAGGCCUAACACAUGCAAGUCGAGCGGAUGAGUGGAGCUUGCUCCAUGAUUCAGCGGCGGACGGGUGAGUAAUGCCUAGGAAUCUGCCUGGUAGUGGGGACAACGGUUCGAAAGGAACGCUAAUACCGGAUUCGUCCCACGGGGGCAAGUGGGGGGUCCUCGGACCUCACGCUAAUAGAUGAGCCUAGGUCGGAUUAGCUAGUUUGUGAGGUAAAGGCUCACCAAGGCGACGAUCCGUAACUGGUCUGAGAGGAUGGUCAGUCACACUGGAACUGAGACACGGUCCAGACUCCUACGGGAGGCAGCAGUGGGGAAUAUUGGACAAUGGGCGAAAGCCUGAUCCAGCCAUGCCGCGUGUGUGAAGAAGGUCUUCGGAUUGUAAAGCACUUUAAGUUGGGAGGAAGGGCAGUAAGUUAAUACCUUGCUGUUUUGACGUUACCAACAGAAUAAGCACCGGCUAACUUUGUGCCAGCCGCCGCGGUAACAC
rnacentral:rRNA from 1 species